GAUGUGUUCGCUCUUAAGUGCUGAGCUGUCUCUCCUCAUCUCAGCACCUCCUUCUCAGCGUCUGACCAGAGUCCAUGUAACAUUCCGGCCUUUCUCCGUCACAGUUUUGCUCCACCGAGUAUUAGGAACUUCUUUUGGGGGUGAUACAAAGCAGAUGAAUCAGAGCAGAGGAAGACAGACGGUCUCUAUCUGGUAGAGGAACAGUUCUUUUCUGGUAGAACUCCGCCGUGCUAAAGAGGAAAGCGAAAGCAUCCAGCACACAGUGUUUCUCAGAGAAUUGAUUAUGUGGCUUUCAUGGAGUUCUGUGUGGAGAAAUAAAACACACUUCGGCUGGGGGAGCUUCUCAGUAACCAGGUAUGACCCCCUUCCUUGUGACCUCUUCCUCAAGAAGAAGAAGGGGGA
rnacentral:lncRNA from 1 species